rnacentral:rRNA from 1 species
UAAAGUGGCGAACGGCUGAGUAACACGUGGGCAACCUGCCCUUUGCACUGGGAUAGCCUCGGGAAACCGAGGUUAAUACCGGAUACUCCAUAUUUGUCGCAUGGCGAAUAUGGGAAAGCUCCGGCGGCAAAGGAUGGGCCCGCGGCCUGUUAGCUAGUUGGUGGGGUAGUGGCCUACCAAGGCAAUGAUGGGUAGCCGGGUUGAGAGACCGACCGGCCAGAUUGGGACUGAGACACGGCCCAGACUCCUACGGGAGGCAGCAGCA